UACGGAGGGGGCAAGCGUUGUUCGGAUUUACUGGGCGUAAAGGGCGCGUAGGCGGCUUUGUAAGUUAGUUGUGAAAUCUCCGAGCUUAACUCGGAACUGCCAAUUAAUACUGCAGGGCUUGAGUGCAGAAGGGGCAACUGGAAUUCUUGGUGUAGCGGUGAAAUGCGUAGAUAUCAAGAGGAACACCGGAGGCGAAGGCGGGUUGCUGGGCUGACACUGACGCUGAGGCGCGAAAGCUUGGGGAGCAAACAGG
rnacentral:rRNA from 1 species